rnacentral:rRNA from 1 species
GACAAACGCUGGCGGCAUGCCUAACACAUGCAAGUCGAACGGACGAAGCCGACAGAACUUUUCGGAGUGAAGACGGCCAAGUUAGUGGCGGAUGGGUGAGUAACGCGUGGGGAACCUACCCUCAAGCGGGGAAUAACCGUGAGAAAUUACGACUAAUACCGCAUAAGGUGAAGGGGUCACAUGAACCCUUCAAGAAAGACGGUGUAAGCUGUCACUUGAGGAUGGACCCGCGUCUGAUUAGCUAGUUGGUGAGGUAAAGGCCCACCAAGGCAAUGAUCAGUAGCCGGCCUGAGAGGGUGAACGGCCACAUUGGGACUGAGACACGGCCCAAACUCCUACGGGAGGCAGCAGUGGGGAAUUUUCCGCAAUGGGCGAAAGCCUGACGGAGCAAUGCCGCGUGAGUGAAGAAGGCCUUCGGGUUGUAAAGCUCUGUCCUAACCGAAGAGAGCGCUAGAGAGUAACUGCUCAAGCG